UAGGGAAUCUUCCACAAUGGACGCAAGUCUGAUGGAGCAACGCCGCGUGAGUGAGGAAGGCUUUCGGGUCGUAAAACUCUGUUAUUGAAGAAGAACGUGUGUGACAGUAACUGGUCAUGCAGUGACGGUAUUCAAUCAGAAAGUCACGGCUAACUACGUGCCAGCAGCCGCGGUAAUACGUAGGUGGCAAGCGUUGUCCGGAUUUAUUGGGCGUAAAGCGAGUGCAGGCGGUCUUUUAAGUCUGAUGUGAAAGCCCUCGGCUUAACCGAAGAAGGGCAUCGGAAACUGGGAGACUUGAGUGCAGAAGAGGAGAGUGGAACUCCAUGUGUAGCGGUGAAAUGCGUAGAUAUAUGGAAGAACACCAGUGGCGAAGGCGGCUCUCUGGUCUGUAACUGACGCUGAGGCUCGAAAGCGUGGGUAGCAAACAGGAUUAGAUACCCUGGUAGUCCACGCCGUAAACGAUGAA
rnacentral:rRNA from 1 species